rnacentral:rRNA from 1 species
UACGUAGGUGGCAAGCGUUGUCCGGAUUUACUGGGCGUAAAGGGAGCGUAGGUGGAUUUUUAAGUGAGGUGUGAAAUACUCGGGCUCAACCCGAGAACUGCAUUUCAAACUGGAAAUCUAGAGUGCAGGAGAGGAAAGUGGAAUUCCUAGUGUAGCGGUGAAAUGCGUAGAUAUUAGGAAGAACACCAGUGGCGAAGGCGACUUUCUGGACUGUAACUGACACUGAGGCUCGAAAGCGUGGGGAGCAAACAGG